rnacentral:rRNA from 1 species
CCAGCUCCCCGAGUGGUCAGGGCGUUUAUUGGGCCUAAAGCAUCCGUAGCCGGCUCUGUAGGUCCUCUGUUAAAUCCAACGGCUCAACCGUUGGGCUGCAGGGGAUACCGCAGGGCUAGGAGGCGGGAGAGGCGGACGGUAUUCCGUGGGUAGGGGCAAAAUCCUCUGAUCCACGGAGGACCACCAGUGGCGAAGGCGGUCCGCCAGAACGCGCUCGACGGUGAGGGAUGAAAGCUGGGGGAGCAAACCGGAUUAGAUACCCGGGUAGUCCCAGCUGUAAACGAUGAGCUAGGUGAUGGAGUGGCUGAGGGCCAUUCCAGUGCCGCAGGGAAGCCGUUAAGCUCGCCGCCUGGGGAGUACAGUCGCAAGACCGAAGCUUAAAGGAAUUGGCGGGGGAGCACCACAAGGGGUGAAGCCUGCGGUUCAAUUGGAGUCAACGCCGGGAACCUUACCGGGAGCGACAGCAGGAUGAAGGCCAAGCUGAAGACUUUACCAGACGAGCUGAGAGGAGGUGCAUGGCCGUCGCCAGCUCGUGCCGUGAGGCGUCCUGUUAAGUCAGGCAACGAGCGAGACCCCUGCCGCUAAUUGCUACCAUUGCUCCGAAAGGGGUGGCGGAGCUAGUUAGCGGGACUGCCGUCGCUAAGACGGAGGAAGGAAGGGGCCACGGCAGGUCAGUAUGCCCCGAAACUCCCGGGCCACACGCGGGCUGCAAUGGUAGGGACAGAGGGUUCCGACCCCGAAAGGGGGAGGCAAUCCUGAAACCCUACCCCAGUUGUGAUUGAGGGCUGCAACCCGCCCUCAUGAAUCUGGAAUCCCUAGUAACCGCGUGUCAACAUCGCGCGGUGAAUACGUCCCUGCUCCUUGCACACACC